rnacentral:lncRNA from 1 species
UUAAAACUCUAGCAGGAAUCCCAACGACUAGUAAAAAACAUACAAUCACAUCAGGUGACUCCUGUGCCUCCUGCUGAGACAUGUUGUAUACUCGUCCAGUAGCUCUGGAACGUCUACCGCGUCCCCUUUGCUAACUGCCACCUCUGCUACCCACGCUAGUCUGGGCCCCACUACUAGACGAGCCCCCACAAUCUGUGAUGUACUUCGUACUCUACUCUGUGCACUCGUCCCCUG